rnacentral:lncRNA from 1 species
UUUCACCUAUUUUUCAUUGCUUCAAUAUUAAUUAUCAAGGGAAUGGGACUAUGAUGAACAACCGAGCACUAAAGUUUAAUACGAACAGCCUUCCACAAAGCAGAUUGAAGGUAUACAAGCACAAACAGCACACAUGCAUGUAAUAUUUUGAUGGACUUAUAUUAUGUAUUUAGUUAUCAAAUUGCACCUUAAUCCAACUAUAUCGGCCAUGGGUCUCCCCCUUUUUGAAAAGCACCCAGAAAACUGGAUAUAAAAAUAACAUGUAUAGAUCCAUACGGAAAGCAAACAGAAAACUAAUGUAAACUAACUUAUCUGAAAAGGAGAAAAAGCAAUAUUCAAUUCAGUUGUUUGUUAAUCGCUCUGUACCAAAGAGUGUUGGAAAUAAAAAGAAAGGAGAAAGCAGGGAAGAUGCCACCAUGAGAACCAAAUCGAUCCAGAAUAUGUUUUUCUCAUGUCAGUCUCCUCCCUCCUCCGUGGCUAAUACUCCUCAUGCUGGCCAAAACAACAAAUCAAAGCAUCAAAGUUAGAAACUAAAGAGAGAGAGAGAGACGGUAGGGAAGAUACCACAUAGAAAAACUAAAUCGAACCACCAUACUCUGUUUUUAGCAAGCACCAUACCAAGACGAAAUAUGUUAAAGAAAAAUAGGAAAAAGAAUAUACUAUAUACUCACCGCUACCAUUCUUUGUAAUCCCCCCAAAAAAUAACACUCUUCUCUCCCCCUUAGAAAUAGCCUGAUGCCAAAGGGAUCAUAGUUAAGCACUAUAGUGUAAUACCAGUGAAAAUAUUUACUGAAGUAUCAAAAGCACCAUACCUAGGGCAGGGAAAUCUGUGCAAAUUUGACAUAAGAGAGUGUAGACUUGUCUUGAAUAAAACAAUUAUAUGAGAUGUGCCUUCUUCCUAUUGCCAUUCAGUCAACCAUGUCGCCACUGUCCUCACAAACUGGAACUCCCCUGCCUCCCUUUUCCACUCAUACAUGACCAAAGAAAACCAUGAACAUAGCCAAACCAGAUCAGAUCCGGGCUCAAUUCACGCAAAUGCAUAUACAAAAAUCUUAAGAAUGCACAAAGAGCUUUUAGAUAUGCACCACCUGGGGGCAUUCAUAGAAGGUGAAGUUUUGAGAUAAACUUGGAAACUAAGCAUCUGAGAUCAGUAAUAAUAACAUAAAGAAAAUCCAUAAUCUAAUUAAUUAGUCAGUAAGAGAACGAUCUAUGUGAGCCACCUUUAAUCGAUGAAUUAGGGAGAGCUUCCAUGUUUGCUUUUAGCAAGUUCAGAAAAUGCUUUGCUGUACUGUUCGGCAAUGCUCAGGCUGGCAGCCUACAAAUUAGAAGCAGACAUAUAUGUUUUGUUAGGCAAAAAGGAAAAAGAAGGUCGAUCGCUCGCUGUAGCUUCGUUGAUUAGUUUGGCGAAAUUAGAGUACUCGUUGCAAAGAACACUUCACUUUUUCAGGUCGCGACAAGUGGUGCACAUGCAACACGUCACUUGUCGCAACAUGUGAGUUUUCUCUUUUUUCGUAGAUCCGUUUAUUCAAAAUGUUUUAUCUUUUAAACCGUGAAGCAGACAUAUAUGUUUUGUUAGGCAAAAAGGAAAAAGACAAUCAAAAUCUUAUUUGAAGGAAGAACUCCUCCAUCGAGAUUUUACAAGAAAUAUGUGAUACCUUGGUGUUGCGUUCAGAUUUGAACUACUCAGAGACCUGGUGCCCACACUGUAAAACAAACUAAUCCGUCAGCACUGAUGGAGAGCAACACGGGUUGGGAGUGAGUCACCACCGUCGGUUACGUUGUGAGCGUCCGCGGGCUAAGAGCAUCAUGGCCAGGCUGAGCUGUGCAUAGUACGACGGUGUGGGGCGACGAAGAUCAGGAGCAGUGUAGCUUGGGAGAGGGCCGCUUCUAUCGGCGGCUUGAGGGCGUCAUGGCUGGGCCGCUGGAAGAAGCCGAAGCGACUCAUGUCUGACGCAUUCGCCAGCAUCGUCGCCAGUUGUGGCUGCUGCUCUCCUCCUUCCGUCGAUGACGAGGGAGCAGGUGUCUUGACUGCAAUCUAUAUCUGCAGUUGAACAUUAUUACUUCAAUGCAAACAAAAACAAAGAAAGGUAUCCAAGUAGAACAAUUAUCUUUCUACAACCAUCACUUCUAUCUUCCAACAGAAUGAGAAAAUAUCUUGAAUUAAAGUAACAAUGAUCUUGAAGCAAAAUGCAUGAAGUUGGUGUCAACCUGAUGCAUGUAACAGAUACUGGAUCCUCUCUCGUUUGGUAUUCCCUCACAGCCUUACUGAUCUUUCAUCAAACACCUUGCAGGCAUAGAUAAAAAAGUAUUUGCACAUGUAAAUAGAUGAGCUGAAGAGAGAGGGC